rnacentral:rRNA from 1 species
AGGAUUUUCUUAGUAGCGGCGAGCGAAAAGAAAAUAGUUCAGCACUAAGUCACAUUAUCUUUAUGGUAAUUGUGAGAUGCAGUGUAUGGAAUAUCUUAAUAUCUAGCAUGAGAAGUUAACGAUUUAAGUCCUUCUUAAAUGAGGCCAUUUACCCAUAGAGGGUGCCAGGCCCGUAUAACGUUAAUGAUUACUAGAAAGAUAUUUCCAAAGAGUCGUGUUGCUUGAUAGUGCAGCACUAAGUGGGUGGUAAACUCCAUCUAAAACUAAAUAUAACCAUGAGACCGAUAGUAAACAAGUACCGUGAGGGAAAGUUGAAAAGAACUCUGAAUAGAGAGUUAAAUAGUACGUGAAACUGCUUAGAGGUUAAGCCCGAUGAACCUGAAUAUCCAUUAUGAAAAAUUCAUCAUUAUGACUUGUAUAUUUUCUUAAAUAUUGCAAGUAAUGGUGUGCAUUUUUUUCAUAUAAGGACAUUGUAAUCUAUUAACAACAAAUAAAUAUUUAUGAAAAGAUCACUGGCGUUUUAAGUUUAUUCAAAUUAAUUUGCUUUAAUUAGCAUAUUAACAUAGAAUAAAUGCUUGUGAUUUGAUAAAGUGUUGAUAGAUUUAUUUAUAUAUAAUGCUAAAAUACUUUAUGUAUUUUACAAUAACAUUAAAAUCUAUAUGAUUUUAGCGUUUAUUGUAUGCAUUUAUAUGAUUAACAAUGCGAAAGAUUCAGGAUACCUUCGGGACCCGUCUUGAAACACGGACCAAGGAGUCUAACAUAUGUGCAAGUCAUUGGGUUAUUUUUUAAACCUAAUUGCAUAAUUAACUUAACUUAUUUUAUAAUGGGAUUAAUUAUUAGUCUAAAAAAUUUUAGUCUUAUUAAUUCAAUCCCGGGGCGUUCUAUAUAGUUAUGUAUAAUGAUAUUUAUAUUAUUUAUACCUCUAACUGGAGCGUACCUUGAGCAUAUAUGCUGUGACCCGAAAGAUGGUGAACUAUACUUGAUCAGGUUGAAGUCAGGGGAAACCCUGAUGGAGGACCGAAGCAGUUCUGACGUGCAAAUCGAUUGUCAGAAUUGAGUAUAGGGGCGAAAGACCAAUCGAACCAU